rnacentral:tRNA from 1 species
GGGCGGUUAGCUCAGCCGGGAGAGCGACUGGUUUACACCCAGUAGGUCGGCGGUUCGAUCCCGUCACCGCCCACCA